ACGCUCGACACCUACAGGAGGCAGCAGUGGGGAAUAUUGCACAAUGGGGGAAACCCUGAUGCAGCGACGCCGCGUGAGCGAAGAAGUAUUUCGGUAUGUAAAGCUCUAUCAGCAGGGAAGAAACUGACGGUACCUGACUAAGAAGCACCGGCUAAAUACGUGCCAGCACGCCGACGGUAAUUCGUGAGGGCCGGGCGUGGACGAAGGC
rnacentral:rRNA from 1 species